rnacentral:siRNA from 1 species
CAACAUUAUCAACAUAACCACCAC